ensembl:snRNA U5 U5 spliceosomal RNA
GCUCGGGUUUCUCUUCAUUCACGCACAAAUCUUUUGCCUUUUACUAAAGAUUUUCAUGGAGGGGAACGUUGACUAGUUCUUAUUUUUGAAGGCUCUACCAUGGCAGAGCU